GGCGGCGUACAGCUGAGCGGUGGUGGUCAGCUCGGCGCCGUGACUCAGACAGUAAGCCUUGGCUUCCCAGAAGGUGAAGCGCUGGGGGGCGGAGCCAUGGAACACCUCACCUUUACAGAAAGAGACAGCAGUACACGUCGUACAGCUCAUCCGGCUCCAGCAGUCCGUAGUUCCUGACUCCUGGCAGUCCGUCCAUGUCCCCGAAACAUCCCUCUCUGGGCAUCUGAAUUGGAUAUCUGUGGAGGGAAAUAUCACACAGCGCUGAAACACUGAGCACCUCUUCUCCUGCAGAUACAGCUCAGGCAUCAUGACAUCAUCACAUCUGGAUCUGUACAGAUCAACAGAUCUUUGGUUUUAUACCCUCACAACUGAUAUUUAUAUUCAACUUGACUUUAUCCUGGUGGUUUCCUGCAGCCAAGUGCAACAGCCGUCAGCUGAUCAGCAAGAGGAGUUUUUGGAGGGUUGUGUGUGUGUGUGUGUGUGUGUGUGUGUGUGUGUGUGUGUGUGUGUGUGUGUGUGUGUGUGUGUGUGUGUGUGUGUGUGACGGCCUGUGUGUCCUUGGAGCUGUGGAGCUGCUGUGACUCAGACUUCAGGAGCUGCAGAAUGUGAGCUGAAUUCUGAUUCCCUGAAUUUCUCCCCGGAGGGUCGGACCGCAGCCACCGACCACCAACUUAACUAGAUUUACCAUCAUUACCACCGUUUCUCCUCCACUAUGUUCACUUCUCUUUCUUCUGCUCUGUUCGUCUUUGUUGUUAUUGUGAUCCUGUUUUUUCUGCUCGGUGAUAACUUAAAGAGACAGUUCACCCCAAUAAAAUCCCAAAGUACACAUUUU